ACGGGACGUUUGCCACGACCUGACCGAAGGCGGGAGCGGGGGAACCACGUUAGGCGCCGAGCCACCACCGGCUCGGCUCGGGGUGAAGCCGCCUCAGCGACGAGCGGCCGGGCCACCUCACGGCCCGAACCCGACAGCUCACCUCGUAGGCGUCGGAGAGGGACACG
rnacentral:sRNA from 2 species